rnacentral:rRNA from 1 species
GCCCUAGCACAGGUGCUGCAUGGCCGUCGUCAGCUCGUGCCGUGAGGUGCUGGGUUAAGUCCCGCAACGAGCGCAACCCCGCCGUUAGUUGCCAGCGGUUCGGCCGGGCACUCUAACGGGACUGCCACCGUAAGGUGAGAGGAAGGUGGGGAUGACGUCAAAUCAGCACGGCCCUUAUGUCCAGGGCUACACACGUGUUACAAUGGCCAGUACAAAGGGCAGCUACCGGGUGACCGGAUGCUAAUCUCUAAAGCUGGUCUCAGUUCGGAUCGAAGUCUGCAACCCGACUUCGUGAAGCUGGAUUCGCUAGUAAUCGCGCAUCAGCCAUGGCGCGGUGAAUACGUUCCCGGGCCUU